CAAUAGCGUAUAUUAAAGUUGUUGCAGUUAAAAAGCUCGUAGUUGGAUUUCUGGUUGAAGCGACCGGUCGGGCGUUGAUCCGUCUGCACUGGAGUCGGUUUUGGCCAUCCUCUAGGAAAGUGCGUCUGGUAUUAAGUUAUCGGGCGUAUGAUCCUGGUCUUUUACUGUGAAAAAAUUAGAGUGUUUAAAGCAGGCCUUCGCCUUGAAUACAUUAGCAUGGAAUAAUAAGAUAGGACUUUGGUCUAUUUUGUUGGUUUGCAGACCGAAGUAAUGAUUAAUAGGGAUAGUUGGGGGUAUUUAUAUUCCGAUGUCAGAGGUGAAAUUCUUAGAUUUGCUGAAGAUGAACAACUGCGAAAGCAUUUACCAAGGAUGUUUNCAUUAA
rnacentral:rRNA from 1 species